UACGUAGGUGGCAAGCGUUGUCCGGAAUUACUGGGUGUAAAGAGCGCGCAGGCGGCUGGUCAAGUCCGAUGUGAAAGCUCCCGGCUUAACUGGGAAAUUGCAUCGGAAACUGAUCGGCUUGAAGGUGGGAGAGGGUAGUGGAAUUCCCGGUGUAGUGGUGAAAUGCGUAGAUAUCGGGAGGAACACCAGUGGCGAAGGCGACUACCUGGCCCACUCUUGACGCUGAGGCGCGAAAGCUAGGGGAGCGAACGGG
rnacentral:rRNA from 1 species